GCCCGCCUAGCUCAAUCGGAUAGAGCGUCAGACUCUUAUAACUGGUUGUAUUGGUUAUCUGAAGGCUGCGAGUUCGACCCUCGCGGUGGGCU
rfam:Trametes pubescens strain FBCC735 TRAPTBscaffold_898, whole genome shotgun sequence.